rnacentral:rRNA from 1 species
UACGUAGGUGGCAAGCGUUGUCCGGAUUUACUGGGCGUAAAGAGCGCGCAGGCGGUCGUUCAAGUCGCGUGUGAAAGCCCCCGGCUCAACUGGGGAGGGUCACGCGAUACUGAUCGACUGGAAGGCAGGAGAGGGUAGUGGAAUUCCCCGGUGUAGUGGUGAAAUGCGUAGAUAUCGGGAGGAACACCAGUGGCGAAGGCGGCCGACUGGACACAUAUUGACGCUGAGGCUCGAAAGCAUGGGGAGCAAACAGG